UAGCUCAGUUGGUUAGAGCGUGGUGCUGCUAACACCAAGGUCACAGGUUUGAUCCCCAU
rnacentral:tRNA from 1 species